GGGGAAUAUUGGACAAUGGGCGCAAGCCUGAUCCAGCCAUGCCGCGUGAGUGAUGAAGGCCUUAGGGUUGUAAAGCUCUUUUGUCCGGGAAGAUAAUGACUGUACCGGAAGAAUAAGCCCCGGCUAACUUCGUGCCAGCAGCCGCGGUAAUACGAAGGGGGCUAGCGUUGCUCGGAAUCACUGGGCGUAAAGCGCACGUAGGCGGAUUUCUAAGUCGGAGGUGAAAGCCCAGGGCUCAACCCUGGAAUUGCCUUCGAUACUGGAAGUCUCGAGUUCGGAAGAGGUUGGUGGAACUGCGAGUGUAGAGGUGAAAUUCGUAGAUAUUCGCAAGAACACCAGUGGCGAAGGCGGCCAACUGGUCCGAUACUGACGCUGAGGUGCGAAAGCGUGGGGAGCAAAC
rnacentral:rRNA from 1 species